CACGUAGUUAGCCGGGGCUUCUUAGUCAGGUACCGUCAUUUUCUUCCCUGCUGAUAGAGCUUUACAUACCGAAAUACUUCUUCACUCACGCGGCGUCGCUGGAUCAGGGUUUCCCCCAUUGUCCAAUAUUCCCCACUGCUGCCUCCCGUAGGAGUUUGGGCCGUGUCUCAGUCCCAAUGUGGCCGUUCACCCUCCCAGGCCGGCUACUGAUCGUCGCCUUGGUAGGCCGUUACCCUACCAACAAGCUAAUCAGACGCGGGUCCAUCCUGCACCACCUUAGUUUUUCACACCUGGCCAUGCGGCCUCGUGCGCUUAUGCGGUAUUAGCACCUGUUUCCAGGUGUUAUCCCCCGGUGCAGGGCAGGUUCCCCACGCGUUACUCACCCGCCCGCCACUAAGUUAUCCUCUCUUCCACUCUUAGCAAGCUAAUUGCUUCUGAAAUGAUAACUCCGUUCGACUUGCAUGUGUUAAGCACGCCGCCAGCGUUCAUCCUGAGCCAGGAUCAAACUCU
rnacentral:rRNA from 1 species